rnacentral:rRNA from 1 species
GACGAACGCUGGCGGCGUGCCUAAUACAUGCAAGUCGAGCGGACUUUCAAGAAGCUUGCUUUUUGAAAGUUAGCGGCGGACGGGUGAGUAACACGUGGGCAACCUGCCUGCAAGACGGGGAUAACUCCGGGAAACCGGGGCUAAUACCGGAUAAUAUCUUCCUUCGCAUGAAGGAAGGUUGAAAGGCGGCGCAAGCUGCCGCUUGCAGAUGGGCCCGCGGCGCAUUAGCUAGUUGGUGAGGUAACGGCUCACCAAGGCGACGAUGCGUAGCCGACCUGAGAGGGUGAUCGGCCCCACUGGGACUGAGACACGGCCCAGACUCCUACGGGAGGCAGCAGUAGGGAAUCUUCCGCAAUGGACGAAAGUCUGACGGAGCAACGCCGCGUGAGCGAAGAAGGUCUUCGGAUCGUAAAGCUCUGUUGUCAGGGAAGAACAAGUACCGUUCGAACAGGGCGGUACCUUGACGGUACCUGACCAGAAGGCCACGGCUAACUACGU